rnacentral:misc_RNA from 1 species
AAAAGAUUUUUUCAGUUCAACUACGUGAAGCAAUGGGCUUAUCUCAAAGACCUCGGCUACAAAUGAUAGAUUACUUAGGCUUUUUUGACUUCUUAUCUCUUGAAUCAAUUUCAACUUUCCACUUUUCUUUUGAACUCGAAAUCCCAUAUCCGUUGCGAUAACCUCGAUUCUCUCAAGCAAGUCUUUGGCAGAAUGGUUGGAUGUAAA